GAACGCUGGCGGCGUGCCUAACACAUGCAAGUCGAACGGAGUCCAGCCUUUAAGACCUUCGGGUCAAAGAGGGGAAGACUGAGUGGCGGACGGGUGAGUAACACGUGGGCAACCUGGCUCAUAGAGGGGGAUAACAGAGAGAAAUUUCUGCUAAUACCGCAUAAGCACACACUGCCGCAUGGCAGAGGGUGAAAAGAGAAUCGCUAUGAGAUGGACCCGCGUCUGAUUAGCCAGUUGGCAGGGUAAGAGCCUACCAAAGCGACGAUCAGUAGCCGAUCUGAGAGGAUGAACGGCCACAUUGGGACUGAGACACGGCCCAAACUCCUACGGGAGGCAGCAGUGGGGGAUAUUGCACAAUGGGGGGAACCCUGAUGCAGCGACGCCGCGUGAGUGAAGAAGUAUUUCGGUAUGUAAAGCUCUAUCAGCAGGGAAGAUAAUGACAGUACCUGAAUAAGAAGCCCCGGCGAACUACGU
rnacentral:rRNA from 1 species